GAUAAACGCUGGCGGCGUGCUUCAGGCAUGCAAGUCGAACGAACACCUUCGGGUGUGAGUGGCGGACGGGUGAGUAACACGUAAGCAACCUGCCCAGUAGUGGGGAACAACUUGCCGAAAGGCGAGCUAAUACCGCAUGUGAUGGCUUUUCCCUGGAGGGGUCAUUAAAGGCCGAAAGGUCGGCUACUGGAGGGGCUUGCGGCUGAUUAGCUAGUUGGUGGGGUAAUGGCCUA
rnacentral:rRNA from 1 species